GUCUGUCUAAUUGAAGCUGGUAGUCAAGUCACGUAGAGGGAGGGGCACAAUAAUACUUGUUAGCUAUGAGAAUCAAUAACUUCACUCAUUGCCAGUUCAACUUCCUGACUUGGGCUCGUGACAUGGACAGAACAACGCGGAACUGAACACCACACGAGCUGGAAAGGAACAGAGGGUGCGCCUGGCAAAUACACAGUCCAUGUCUCAAUUGUCAAGCUGCCAAAGUUUUCUAUUCAAAAGGCCAUUCAAGAUGGUGGAAAGCCUUUUUCAGCAUCAACUGACAUUAUUGAUAAAGCUACAUCUUCUUUUUUAGCAUAUUGUAUUAUACUGAAACAUGUUCUUGUAUUUGUUAAGUGUCUAUUUUUAAUAAUCCCUGUUGGAUUAAUAUGUGUCAAGUCUGGUAAGACUUUUGCCAUUCUGUUGCUUUUGAGUUUAUUUCAUUGUCACAAUUAAUUAAACUUAUGGGACUGUAAUGUGCAAGGAGCUCCAGAUCUUCCUGGUUUUAAUAUAACUGAAAACUGUUUGAUACAUGGAACUAGGAAGCACUGAAUUGUCAUUUGAGUAAAUAGGGGCGCUACCUUGUCCCAGAAUGUUAAGUAAAAUUCUAUGGGAUGCUGUCCACACCUGGUGCUUUUCUCUGCAAGAAAGUCUGAAGUGGGUGAUUUUUAUUUUUUGUGAUUCUUUUGUCUGCUGAUAGUUGCUUCAGAGUUGUUGAGUCUAAGAAGGCUGUAGGAUCAGUCCAACUGCUGUUUAAUUAUGAUUUGUAUAGAUUUUCAUAGAAGCUUUUAAAAUUGUCAUUAAUAGCGUUGCUGUUUCUAAUUGAAGCAUUUGCAUCCUUAUCUUUUAAAACUAUAACUGGCUUGGCCUGUAUUCAUUUUGUAUUUAUUAUGGAUCCCCAUUAGCUGCUGGCUUUUCUCUGUCCUCUAUGUCUACAUUUGUAAUGGUAAAGGUUUUAUCUUUUCCUUUACAUAUUUAAUACAUUUUGAGUCUUGAAGAUAGAUAUUUUUUAAUCACAUACAAAGCUGGUCAAACAGACCUGAGUUCAAAGGAAACAAUCACGGAAUGUAGGUUUAAAUAAAAUUAUUAUAACGUUCUAAAAACAUUACAAUCUCUCUUGCGGCUUUUAUGGAACGUUUUCUUAACAUUCUCUGAACAAUGAGAACAUGACUUUAGAACCGUUUAUUUUUAUUUAACUAGACAAGCCAGUUAAGAAUAAAUUAUUUGCAAUGACGGCGUACUGAAAUUCCCACAGAAGAACGUUGUUUAAUGUUCUGAACUAUUUGAGAACAUUCCCAAUGUCAAACCAGUUACAGAACAUUCCUAGAACAUUACCAAAAUUGAAAUGUAACCAUUUUUGAACUUUUAGGAAACAUUCUGUUAAUGUAAUGAAAAUGUUUUUUUUGUCAAGUUCCUUAAAUGUGAUGAGAAUGUUCCAAAGCCAAGCAACUAUCCUGCACCAUUCUCAGAAAGUUGUAUGCAAAAUAACCAUAGGACAACCCUGCUCUCAGCAUCUAAGAAAUAUAUGGUUCUCAGAACGUUACGUGCAAGCUUUAUCGGAGCUGCAAUCAGAUUGUUACAUUACAGAAAGCCGUUGAUUUAAAACUGGUUAAUGUGGGCAAAACUAAAUAUAUGUUCUCUAAUUCACAGAAAAAUAUCUGUUGGGCUACAUCUUCACUCAUUGGAUGGCUAUCUAUAAAUAUCUGGGCAUUUGGAUUGAUAAUGUACAUUUUUUUUAUUAUUUUUUUAAAUACGGAUGAGCUAGUUAAAAUGCUGUGAUUUAAAUUGGGCUUCUUUUUUAGAAAAAUCUCUUGUCCCUCCAUGAACGGCAGGAAGCAGAUUGUGCAGUCAACUUUCCUGACAGUUCUUAACUAUGGUGACAGCAUUUACCAGAAUGCAGAAGCCCCUAGUUUUAAACCUUUGGAUGCAGUCUACCAUAGCGCCCUUCACUUUAUUACAGGUGACAGUUUUAAUACUCAUCACUGCAUCCUGUCUCAGAAGGUUGGCUGGACCUUACUAAAGCCCCAUAGAUCACUUCAUUACUCCCGUCUUGUUUGCAAAGCUCUUCUCUACAAGAUUCCAAUAUACCUCACUUCCCUGUUUCAAUAUAAAAAUAUGAGAUACCAAACCUGUUCGCAGGGUUAGAAAGCUAUUGAAGUCCUGCACAUCUCCACAAAGUUUGAUGAAUCUGCCUUUAGUUUUAACGCACUAAAGUUAUGGAAUACCUUACAAAACAAAUUACACCUGGAUUCCAUGGUGCCUAUAUGAUAGUUUAUCAGGAAUCAAGGUAAGACCCAGAUGCAGACACGUCGAAUUAACAAUGGUUUAAUUUUCCAACAGGGGCAGGCAAUAGACAGGUCAAGACAGGCAGGGGUCAGUCAACCAGAGGGGGGGCAACGGUACCGGACGGCAGGCAGGCUCAGGGUAUGCAGAGGUCAAUAAUCCAGAGGUGGGGCAAAGGUACAGGUCGGCAGGCAGAGUGGUCAGGCAGGCGGCCUCAUAGUCAGGACAGGCAAGGGUCAAAACCAGGAGGGCGAGAAAAAAGAGAGACUGGGAAAAGCAGGCGCUGAGAACAAAACCACCAGUUGACUCGACUAACUGGCAACAGACAAACAGAGAACACCGGUAUAAAUACAAAGGGGAUAAUGGGGAAGAUGGGCAACACCUGGAGGGGGUGGAGCCAAUCACAAGGACAGGUGAAACAGAUCAGGGUGUGACAAGUUUAAAACUGUCUUGUUAAAUGAAUUUACAGAAGUUUGAAAUUGUUUCAAUUGACUAUUAUAAGUUGUUGUAAUAACCUGAUGUAAUAUAUUUAUACUGUUGUUGUCUUGUAGUUAUUUAAAAAAUAUAUAUAUGUUGUGUUGAUGGAAUUUUUGUCCUGAGGGCACCAUUGCAAAUGAGAGACUGGUUUCAAUUGGGCUCCCCUGAAUAAAUACAGUAAAAUAAUAAAUAGCUGGUAUGUCCCUGCUUUUACAAAGUGCCAUUUACAGCAUCAACAUGUAUUUGGGAUGCAUGCAUGCAACAGGAGGGACAAAAUCUUUCUAAUGAUCAAAAACAUUGACUGAGCUCCAUUUUGUAACAGAAAUUGGAAUUCGAUUGAUUGAUGACAUUGAGCUGUGUUCAUAAAAGCACUGUAGGCCUGAAAAUAAUAUUUUAAUGAACUUAUUAAUAGCAUCAUUGCAUUCAUUGCCUUAAUAGCCAUUAUUCUUACGCUGACAUGAUUUAAUGGUAGUAGCUUUUUGUUGUUAUCUGUCUCAAGGAUAAAGCCCUUUCCUGGACAUGAUCUGUAUGACAAUUGAAAUUCAUUACGAGGAUAUAAAUUCCGUUCUCGUCUACCUAUACUGUCUGUCUGCAGCGCAACAGAGGUUAAAUUAGGGAGCAAUAUAGCACAGGAAACAGGGCAGAAUGGUCUGCUUUAGUCCAAGCAUGUGUGUUAUUGUGAGUGCAUGGGUGUGUGUGAGAGAGAGAGAGGUAUCUAUGUUUACUGUGUAUAUCCAUUGUGUUCUUGGCUUUGUUUGUGAGAUGGAUAUGGAAAGUUUUUAUUUAUUGAUUGGUUAAUUAUUGAUAUGUACUAUCACUCUGCUAGGUUUGACAGAGUUCAGCUCACCCCAUGGUUUGAAAGUGUGUGUUUAUGUGUGUGUGUGAGAGAGAGAAUUUAACGUAUCUUUUUGUAUCAAAUGUGUCUCCCUUGUGUAGUGUGACAAUGUGUUUAGGGCCAGUGUGUGUGUUUGUGUGUAAGAGUUCUGCCUUUAAAGUGUUUGAUUCCAGGAUGCAGUAUCCUGUCUGAGGAAGAGUGGACUGUUUCCUGUCCCCCUCUCUCUCCCUUGCCCUCCAAUCCCACACCCUCCCCACCAAACCCCUACCCUCCACCUACCCUCCUCAUUGUGCCCAGAGUUGGAGCCUCAUUAGGCCCCAUGCCCACAUUUGCCAUCUCUCUGUCCUGUGCAUUCAUAGACCUCCACCAUCAGCUUUGAGAGAGCCAUCCCUAAUUACACAUGACACGGGGAUGACACUGAACUCAGAACCACAAACUGGGGAUCAGCAGUCCUGAUGAGCGACUAAGGGAAGACUGGAGGAUAUGAAGUUGAGAGAGAGUAUUGGGUCGAUUUUGCUCUCCCUCGCUUUGCUAUUGCCUCUCUGCUUUCGUAACAGCAGAGCAGGCUCUUGGGCACUGGUCUGGAGUCUGUUGUUGUGAAAAGAGCCAUCAGCUUUCCAGUGCAGUCAGACAGAAAAUGUGACUAUGAGAAGUUUGAGAAGACUGUAACAUUUAGACUUUUACUGGAUAUAUGGAAUGUUUGAUGUUUAAGAAACGGCUGUGAUAAACCCUGUUGAUGUACAGGGUUUAACUAUUCAAUAUCAAUCCAAUGCCCGAAACCAUGUUCAAUUUUUGAUAUUUAGAUUUUCUUUCAAAACAAAACAUCUGAUUGAGGCAACAAGGUGAAGUCCGUCUUAAAAGAUAGGUUGUUAGAAAACAUUCAGCUCAAUGAAUCAGUCGAUUUUUCAUGGAGAAUAUUGCCAACAUAAACUUGAUAAAACAACUGUAAUGAGUUUUUCUUGGCAUUGAAUAACAUUCUGCAGUUUGUUGAUGUCACGACUUCCGCCGAAGUCGGCUCCUCUCCUUGUUAGGGCGGCGUUCGGCGGUCGACGUCACCGGCUUUCUAGCCAUCGCCGCUCCAUUUUUCAUAUAUCUAUUUGUUUUGUCUUGUUCCCUGCACACCUGGUUUUCAUUCCCCAAUCAAUUCAUAUGUAUUUAUUCUUCUGUUCCCCAUCAUGUCUUUGUGUAGGAUUGUUUGUGUUACGUGUAUUUUGAUAUUGUGGAUAUUGUUACGCACAUUACUUUUUGUUCCGUGUUUUGGGCACAUUUAUUAUUCUUUUGUGCUGUCAUUUUGACCGGAAUAAAAAGUGCGCCUGUUCACUACA